GCCCCCAUCGUCUAGGGGCCUAGGACACCGCCCUUUCAAGGCGGCGGCGGGGAUUCGAAUUCCCCUGGGGGCACGA
rnacentral:tRNA from 1 species